UGUUGUCGGCCAUCUACUCCUCCCAGAUGCGAUGCCGGCGCUGAAUGCGGCGCACCUCCUCCCGCGCUGCAUUUCAAAUCGAGCCCACUGCCACCUCCUCCCGGCAGUGGGCUUUUUC
rnacentral:sRNA from 1 species